UACGUAGGUGGCAAGCGUUGUCCGGAAUUAUUGGGCGUAAAGCGCGCGCAGGUGGUUCCUUAAGUCUGUUGUGAAAGCCCACGGCUCAACCGUGGAGGGUCAUUGGAAACUGGGGAACUUGAGUGCAGAAGAGGAAAGUGGAAUUCCAAGUGUAGCGGUGAAAUGCGUAGAGAUUUGGAGGAACACCAGUGGCGAAGGCGACUUUCUGGUCUGUAACUGACACUGAGGCGCGAAAGCGUGGGGAGCAAACAGG
rnacentral:rRNA from 1 species